UGCUUUUUCAUUUACCCCAAUGUAUGUUAAUAGAAUGUUGUGACUAUAAAAACUAUACAACUUUCAGCAACGGAUCUCUUGGCUCUCGCAUCGAUGAAGAACGCAGCGAAAUGCGAUAAGUAAUGUGAAUUGCAGAAUUCAGUGAAUCAUCGAAUCUUUGAACGCACCUUGCGCUCCUUGGUAUUCCGAGGAGCAUGCCUGUUUGAGUGUCAUUAAUAUAUAUCAACCUUCUCAUUGCUGAGUGGUUUGGAUGUGGGGGUUUGCUGGCCUCUUAAAUGAGUUCAGCUCUCCUGAAAUGCAUUAGCAGAACAACCCUGUUCAUUGGCGUGAUAACUAUCUACGCUAUUGAAUGUGAGGGACAGUUCAGCUUUCUAAUAGUCCUUGGACAACUCAUCAUUUAUGUGACCUCAAAUCAGGUAGGACUACCCGCUGAACUUAAGCAUAUCAAUAAGCGGAGGAAAAGAAACUAACAAGGAUUCCCCUAGUAACUGCGAGUGAAGCGGGAAAAGCUCAAAUUUAAAAUCUGGCGGUCUUUUGGCUGUCCGAGUUGUAAUCUAGAGAAGUGUUAUCCGCGCUGGACCGUGUACAAGUCUCCUGGAAUGGAGCAUCAUAGAGGGUGAGAAUCCCGUCUUUGACAUGGACUACCAGGGCUUUGUGAUGCGCUCUCAAAGAGUCGAGUUGUUUGGGAAUGCAGCUCAAAAUGGGUGGUAAAUUCCAUC
rnacentral:rRNA from 1 species